rnacentral:rRNA from 1 species
UACGUAGGGGGCUAGCGUUGUCCGGAAUCAUUGGGCGUAAAGCGCGCGUAGGCGGCCCGGUAAGUCCGCUGUGAAAGUCAAAGGCUCAACCUUUGAAUGUCAGCGGAUACUGCCGGGCUAGAGUCCGGAAGAGGGCGAGUGGAAUUCCUGGUGUAGCGGUGGAAUGCGCAGAUAUACAGGAGGAACACCAACGGCGAAGG